GAAAUAAAGAUCCCUUUAUCUGAUAUGGCAAUUUCUAUUCUAAGAAAGUACCUCAAUUUUUCCAAGUCCUUAAUCUCAAACUCCUGUGCUAGACGUUGCUUCAGAUUUGCCAUUUCUUUCUCAUCAUCUCUUGUCACUAUUAUAUCAUCCACAUAAACAAUAAGUAAUGUGAUCUUACCUUUAAAAUGUUUUAUAAAUAAAGUGUGAUCAACAUUACUCUAACAGAAGCCAAAGGAGAUCGUAGCCUUGCUGAAUCUAUCAAACCAUGCCUUAGGUGACAGCUUUAGGCCAUAAAAAGCCUUUUUUUAUCAUCAAAUCCUAGAGGUAUUUCUAUAUACACUUCUUCCUUUAAGUUUCCAUACAAAAAAGCAUUCUUGAUAAUGAAUUGCUGUCAAUUUUAAUCAAGAUUUACUGCACAGGACAAUAAAAUCCUGAUGGUGUUCAUAUUUGCAAUAAGGGCAAAAGUCUCAUGAUAAUUUACCCCAUAUGUCUGUGUGAAUCUCUUUGCUACCAGUCUGGCUUUGUAUCUCUCAAUUGAGUCAUUUGCUUUGUGCUUCAUAGUAAACAGUCACUUGCAUCCAACUUUUUUUUUUCCAUCGGAGAGAGUAACAAGAUCUCAUGUCUCAUUCUUUGCUAAAGCCUUCAUCUCUC
rnacentral:misc_RNA from 1 species